GCCUCAAGAUGAGAUCUCACUGGGACCUUGAGUCCCCUGAAGGGCCGUCGAAGACUACGACGUUGAUAGGUUGGGUGUGUAAGCGCUGUGAGGCGUUGAGCUAACCAAUACUAAUUGCCCGUGAGGCUUGACCAUAUAACACCCAAGCAAUU
rnacentral:rRNA from 2 species